GUCUAAUCAGAUAAAUGGAGAAAAGGAAAAACCCUCGUUGAGGCCUUUCGGACUAAGAGUUUUCAGUUUAUAGAUCCAUCUACAUUCUUUUUGACGCAGGAUUUUGUCAAAGUCCCCCCAAAGUCUUUGAUUGCGUUUGACGAGUUCUAGACCACAGAACCGUAUAUCUUUAGAUGAACCCCCAUGUUGUUCCUUUAAAUGCCUUGAAAUGGGGGUAUCAAGUCGGUUCUUAGGUGACCUGACAUGUUCCUUG